GCGGGCGUCGUAUAAUGGCUCAUUACUCCAGCCUUCCAAGCUGGAGAUGCGGGUUCGAUUCCCGCCGCCCGCUCCA
rnacentral:tRNA from 1 species